rnacentral:rRNA from 1 species
CACGUAGGGGCCAAGCGUUGUCCGGAUUCAUUGGGCGUAAAGAGCUCGUAGGCGGUUCAGUUAGUCGGGUGUGAAAUCCCCGGGCUCAACCCGGAGGGGCCACCCGAUACUGCUGUGACUCGAGUCCGGUAGGGGAGUGGGGAAUUCCUGGUGUAGCGGUGAAAUGCGCAGAUAUCAGGAGGAACACCGGUGGCGAAGGCGCCACUCUGGGCCGAAACUGACGCUGAGGAGCGAAAGCGUGGGUAGCAAACAGG